rnacentral:lncRNA from 1 species
ACCUUCUUAGGACCCAGUUAGAUCAUUGCCCUAUGUUUGUUAGCCUACGUUGUGCCAACCGUAGUCCUAUAAACAAACCCUUUAGGUUUGAGUCUAUGUGGUGCAACCAUCCAAUGUUCCAAAACCUGGUUAGGGGCUCUUUCAAGACACACUCCACCUUAAUCCCUUCCACCUCCCUGUUCAAAGCAAAUGUCCUUAGUUGGAAAUAGGAAAACCUUUGGAAAUAUCUUUCAUAAAAAAAAAAGAUGCUCCUUGCGAGGAUUGCAGGAAUUCAGAAAUCACCCUAAUAUCCAACUAGUACUAAUCUUCAAAGUCUUGAAACACAACUCAUUGUUGAGCUUAACUCAAUCUUGAAAAAUGAGGAAGACUUUUGGAAGAUGAAAUCCAGAAUCCACUGGAUCUCUGACGGAGAUACUAACACAAAAUUCUUU